AAUAAGGCAAAAUAGAGGAAAAUAAAAUAAAGGAAGAGGGAAGGAUCCAUGUCAUUCCAUCCUUCCAUGGGACCUUUGUCCUCAUGUGCAGCUCAACUCUCGGGUUUUGCCAGACCACUCACAUAUUGUGGAGGCUUCGUGAGCAAUUUUAGAAUCACCUUCUUAUUUAUUUCUGUAUGUCACUAGGGCAGCUCUCUGGACUUGCAAGGAGACACCAAGCACCGAGGACUGAUGUCAGGGAGCACUUCCAAUCUUUAUUAAAUGUAGUGAACAAUACCCUGGCAAAUUGGGCCACCCUGUGAAUUGUUCUGGCAGCUCUUUGCAUGCGUGGUGCUGUUAAUAACCAUUAAAAAGUUGCAUCUCACCCUGGUUCCUUUCUGGUUGUGAUUCCUGGAAUAUGGAUAAAAUGCACCCAGCUGCAUCCAGCGAAGGCACAUCUCAUACUCUGCGUCGUAGAAGAAGCCACAGAUAUCAGCUCCUGUCUGAAAUAUUGAGAAUGAUCUGAUUGGAAUCCUGUAAUAUCAUGUACAGCAUCAGGAUAAUUGAAUAUAAGUUAAUGACUUGUUAGCUUACAUAAGACAUUCCAAAGAGGCUGAAAUCCAUCAUCCCUGAAAAGAAAAAUAAAACUGCAUUAGUGGCUGGGGUUUUUUUCCAGUGGUUGCAUAGAUAAUACAUAUUGUAAUGGUGAAUGAGCAGAGAGAAAAACAAAUACAGCCCCUGUGAUUCCUCUGACAUGUCAUGUUUUUCUGCUACAGAAAGAGAUGGGAGGUGGUUG